AUGGCGACAGCGUCAUGGACGGCUCGGAGGCGAGGGCGACGACGCCGUGGACCGCUCCACCUCCUGGUUAUUCUCUGCCCCACGAGCGAAGGGCGAGUCGAUAGCCUCGCGGACGGCUCGGCUUCCUCGUCCAUCUCUCUGUCGCCCGUGCUGGUGAACUCCACCGGUCCAGAUUUGGUCCUCCGACGCCUUGGCUGA
rnacentral:rRNA from 1 species